rnacentral:lncRNA from 1 species
AUUUCUCUCUCCUCUCCCUCUCUCCUCCCGAUUUCGCCCCAGCCCAUGACCCCCGCGCCUUUCCGACGUCGCACCGGCCACCACACUUGGAGCCGAUCUCCGAGACCGGUGCCAAACGAACCACCACUCGACCGUCGUCAUUUCUUGACCAGCCGCCGCCCUUGCCGUGGCCGGACCUCGCCGGAAAACGCCAUUGUUGCCGAAUUUUCAGUUCAACUUCCAGCUCAGUUUUCUCCUUCAAUUCUCCACCAAAUCGAUCGAGUAAGGUAUGGUUUCUCAGCUAUUUUUCGUGUUCUAACUGAUGGAUAUAUGGGUUUCGAUCGAUUUUGGCUCUAGAACGUUCGAUUUUCAACUUGAAAAUCGGCCGAAACUUUGGCCGCCGUGAUCUACUGUUUCUGGUCCCUUUUUGGGGUAUGUCCAAGAACAAAAGUGACUCCAAAUGGGGUGUUUUACCUAGGAUAGGAGUUUGGAGUCCUGGUUCCGAGAUUUUUCGACCACCCGAAAUAGCUUAAGACACCCAAAUCUGCCCGCGCGUGCUGGGGCUCGUGGGCGAGGGUCGUGAAGUAAUUCUGUACAGUUUUGUGACCCUCGUGUCGUCACGAGCGCGUAGGAUUUCGCGGAUCUCAAUUCGGAGUCCGUUUGAGCCCCGAACGGAUUUUUCAUAUCGCGCGAUCCUUGGGUGCAGUGUCGUCAAAUCGUUGGAUCACACUGAAUUUUGGAUAUGUCGGUCUACAUGAUUUCAGGAUCGUGUAGGAUUCGACGGAUUGCGAAUCGGAGUCCCGGAUACUCCGAAAUCGCGAACCCUGGGACUAGGGUUUGGAUUUUAAGCGAUACCGCGAUUUCGGCUAAUCCGACCGUCCGUUUCGGACCAAACUCCCGGAACAUGGUUCCUUCUCUAUCAGGAACCUUCAGAGAAGCUCAGAUUGGCCAUUGGAGACCAUGGACCCACGGGGUCCCGGAUUGGCCGGUCUGGUGGUUUAUCGCUUAGUCAAGCGUUGAGUCUUCCAAAACUGAUCUAAGAGUCUGAAAGGCUAAUGUGGGCAUAGGAGUAACUUGAAACGAGUGCACGUAUUUCUAAGAGCCGGGGGCAGGGUGUUUAAUUUAAAUUCUUUUUAUUCAGCAGUUUAUUGAUUUAUUAUUCAUGGAUAAUCAGGCCCCAGAGAUCCAGUCGACCCGCAGGAGGGACCUUCGAAGGGUCCAAUUAGCUCGGACCAUCAGUGAGUGGACUUUCUUUCAUAAACGAUUUUAUAUGCAAGAGUUAUAUAAAUGAUUUAUAUAAAUGAGAUUACUUAAAUGAUUUUAUAAUGAUUUUAUACAAAUAAGCUUUUAUAAGUCAGUUUAUAUGCAUGAAUUUUAUUAUUUGAUUUUGAAUAAGUUUUAUUGAAAGUUUCCGAGCUUGAUUAGUACCGUGAUAUUUCUAUAAUUUCAUGCUGCUCAGUCACGUGCUAAAAGUUAUAGAAACAGAGUUUGAGGUCUAAAUCAAAUGAGAUAGCAGCAUAAUGUGAGAUUACAGUUAUUAAUCAAAUUUUCCUAAAGUUAUUUAUUUUUAAAACCACCACGUACCCAUUUUUAUUUGGUGAUUACCCUCAGAUGGACCAAUGUCUACGGACAUCCAGUCUGUUUACAGUUCUGUCAGUGCACUUGACAUUGCCUCACGAGUUUCGGGGACGCUCAGAUCGUGAGUGCCAGGAUUUGCGGCUCGGCAGACUUGGUGUCCCGAGACCUGCCAGGAUUGCGGCUCGGCUGACUCUGUGUCCCCGAGACCUGCCAGGAUUACGGAUCAGGCUGACUACGGUCCCCUGCAUCCUGCCAGAGCGACUCGAGCUGACUUGGUGUCAUCGAGGACCUGCCGGCGGAUCAGGCUGACCAUUGUCCCCUGAUUUCGCCAGUUUGCAGCUCGGGUAGCUUACGUGACGCCCGAGACCUGCCAGGGGAAUUGACGGAUUUUCAGGGGUACACUUAGGUGGUAGUUUUAAAGCAAUUUGAACACUUUUAUGCAGCUAUUGUUUUUCAAUCACCUUAUAUCAGUUUUCUCAAUAAACGUGCAUGUUUUAUCUCUUCAUAUAAUUAUUCAGCUUUACGAAUCUAUAUACACACUGUUACAUAUUUAUAUUUAGAGGGAUACUUUAUAUUAAACACAUGUGAACUUUAGUUUUACUUAUCAAGUUAUUUUUACUAUGGGGGUUAUUACGAUUGUAAACUGUUUUCCAGAACCUUAUGUUUGGUCCACUCACAUUUUUAACCUGUUUUUCGCCUCCAGGCCGUAGAAGUACGCAGGAUCCACCACCGGGCCAUUCAUAGCUUCCGCGCCACCAAGUAAGGUAGAGUUUUGUAGAAAAGCCCUUGAAACCCUACAAACUAUAGAAAAUGCUCUGAUAUCUAGUUUUAGUGGAAAACUGGAGCUGGUGAAUACUUAGUUAUUCUCUUCUGGCAGUUGGUGUAGAUUUAUUUGUUUGUUGGACAGGUGGAAAAAUCUGGGCUUGGUCAAAUUACAGGGGAGACUCUGCCGAAUUUUAGGCAGAAGUCUAAGGGAAAUUUUAAAAGAAUUUUGAACGAGAAGGGUAAGAAGGUCUUUUGUGCCCGACAUUCGCCAGGUGUCGGACACGCACAGGACUUGGCUCGAAUAUCAAAGCGGAAAUUGGGUCGGGUCCUGUCAUCUACUCUGAUUUCUCUGCCAUUAUCUGCUUUACUUUUGUUCUCAAUACGCCACCCCAUUAAAAUUUGGAUCCGGAUCCUCUGCUCUGAUUUUCUCUGCCAUGAUCUGCUUUACUUUUGUUCUCCAUAUGCCACCUCAUUAAAAUUUAAUCUAAGGGACUUAAAAAUUGACACAUCAUCCUUCAAACAAAAAUCCAAUUUACUCCUACUUAAAAAGGAAAAAAAAAAAAAACUCUAAUCCAACUAUUGGCAAAGUUAACGUUCUGUUCUUUUUUCUUUCUUCUUCCUGUCUCACGCCCUCUACGUCCUGUCCUUUUGUUUUUC